AUGGGCUGGACCUGCAAGAUCCUCUUCUUGGUGGCAGCAGCCACAGGUGCCCACUUCCUGGUGCAGCUGGUGCAGUCUGGGGCUGAGGUGAAGAAGCCUGCGGCCUCAGUGAAGGUCUCCUGCAAGGCUUCUGGAUACACCUUCACCUACUGCUACUUGCACUGGGUGCGAUGGGCCCCUGGACAAGGGCUUGAGUGGACAGGAUUUUAUGGUGAUAGUGGUUACACAAACUACGCAGACUCUGUGAAGGGCCGAUUCACCAUCUCCAGGGACAACGCCAAGAACUCACUGUAUCUGCAAAUGAACAGCCUGAGAGCCGAGGACACGGCUGUGUAUUACUGUGUGAAACACACAGUGAGGGGAAGGGUUCCUGGCAAGUCAUUUCUCCCUCAGGCCUUCGGUUUCCUCACCUACAAGAUGAGAAGGCUGCACCAGAUGGAAAUUUGGGGCGUAAGGGGAUGUCCGCGCGCAGCCCACCCCGCCCACAGGCCCCUUGAGCCUCCAUCACAGUUCCCAACACGCACCCGCCUCACAAAUCCUGCCCAAGGUGAGGGCUGGUCCCGGGUCCUCCGGCUGCUGCAUCAGCGAGUGCAGGAGUGA